rnacentral:rRNA from 1 species
UACGAAGGGGGCUAGCGUUGCUCGGAAUUACUGGGCGUAAAGGGCGCGUAGGCGGGUCGCUUAGUUAGAGGUGAAAGCCCAGGGCUUAACCCUGAGCCUGCUUCCGAUACGGGCAGACUAGAGGUAUGCAGGGGAGAACGGAAUUCCUGGUGUAGCGGUGAAAUGCGCAGAUAUCAGGAGGAACACCGGUGGCGAAGGCGGUUCUCUGGGCAUUACCUGACGCUGAGGAGCGAAAGUGUGGGGAGCGAACAGG